GUGGCUAGUAGACUCUCCCCUGAGGCCUCCAGUGGCCGCCAGACCUCAUCAGGAGUGCCUGUCCACUCUGGCCUGUCCCAUACAUGGAGCCUUCUCACUGAGGUGAGCCGCUGCGUGGAGGUGAGAAUCUUCAGCCGCAUGAAGGGUCCUGGGCCAGACACUGGCGCUGCUCCCUGUGGUUGGCAGUGGCUGGAGACUGGUACCUCCUCACCCCUUCAACUACUUUGCAUCCCCUGGCCCCGCCACCCUCCCCUCUGGCCACCGCCCGUUUGCUCUCUGUGUCUCCUGUGGAUCUAACCCGACUUCCUCCUGUUCAGAGGGGGGCAUGGAGGAGGCCGGGAGAGGAGCAGGACCUGCCAAGGGCACCUGGCGAAUCAGCCAGGUUCACCUCCACUGUGGGGAGACCGCCGACCACUAAGUCGUUCUGGAGAGCCGCUCUGUGGAGGCGUCGAUCGGGCCGGGAGGAGGAGGAGAAACUGCUCGUGCCAACAAGACUGAGCCCACGCUGCCUGUGAGCCUGGUUCUCCCAUAGCCGGCAUCUUACCGAGACGCUGGCCUGCACGCCCGUGGCCACUGGGGUCCCUGCGUGGCCGUGGACGCCCACCGCCUGGGUCGCCUCAUUUGCCCACGGCCACAUCGGAGGUGGAAGCAGUCUGCCCGCCUUGCAGAGAAGGACGCUGAGGCUGAGAGCUGCGAACGUGGGCCCCGCGUUCCGCAGCCGGGUGACCCAGGAGGUUGCAGGGCGGGCGGCCUGAGCCCGUGAUGUCCGCCUCCCGGCCCAGACGUUCCGCAUGGCAAGCAGUGGAUGUGAUCCGUUUCCCCGGCUUCCCGGCUGCAUGCUUUUGCCCCCGGACCUCAUCCUCGGAAGGCUUAGCGGCGCUUGUCGGAAGUUGAGAAGCGCCCAGCCGUUUGCAAUUUCUGAGGCUUCUGGCAUUUUUUAAAGGAAAAAAUGAGCAAACAGGGCAAAAUACGAGUAACACAUUAUAAAUGUUCACAUUGAACCUCUUAAGACUGUCAGUCCGUGGACACGGAGUGCCAGGCCCAUAAUUGCCCUGUUCCCACGUCCCUGUAGGGUGGACAAACAGCUGAUUCUCGGUGCCCGGCCAGCAGCAUGA